AAUUUGGAGGAUAGUAUGCAGCAUCUAGAGUUCGAAACAAAAAAUUACAACUACAGUUGGAGUUUGCAGAGAAUCGAUACAAACUUGAAUUGGAAUCCGUCGAGAAAAAUCUCAAUUACGAGCUACAAAUGAGCACAAAAAGAGAGGAAAAAUUGAAUAAGUCUCUGGAACAGAUGGAAAAGAAUACGAGGAAAAACUGGGCAAAUUGAAACAGAAUGAGAUAGAGCAACGAACUCGUACGAGGAGAAAAUAAGCGUACUGCAAAAUGAGAGACUGAAGGAUUAUCAAAAGCUGAACGAAAUUCAAAAAUCCGUUCUGGAGCAGACGUUUUCAUUCGAGGCACAGUCGCACUUUAAAGAUUUCGGGAAGCUGUUGAGACCUACAGUUUACCAGAUAAAUAAACCAGAAAAUGAAGAGGAGUUAUCAGAGCGAGAGGAGAAACUGUUGGUCCGAGAAAAGCACCUUGCUAGUAUGCGAGAUGCUUUGAAACGGGAAAAAUAGCUCUGGAGACGCAAUUGGAAUCCGUUGCGAACAGAAGUGAGGCGAUGGAAAUGGAACGAUUGGAGGAAAAAAUGCGAUUCGAUACCGAGAUGAGACAAGUGAGGAGCGAGAGGAACUCGCUGGAAAUUGAAAAAGAGCGUGGCGCGAGGAGAAGGAUGCAGACCUGAAGCAAAUCGAGAAUUUGAAACAUCAAGUGGAAUCGAUGCGGGAGUCGAUGCUCAAACAGCAAGAGGCGUUGGUUCGAGAAAAAUUAGAACUCGCCUCGGAACGAGCGCAAGUGAACGCCAUUUCUAAAGUGCACGGCGCAAGUCUCUCCAGUGCAAUAGAUUUAGCUCAAGCAAAAGCUGAGAUGGACGGAGUCGUGGAGGCUGCCAAAAAAGCGGAGAAGGCGCUAGAAGAGGAUAAACAAGAUCUGCUGGAAAAAAAGAAACAGCUGAUAAACGAGAGCUGGAAGCUCACGGAAAAGGAACAGGAAGUCACGAUGAGAGAGAACUUCGUCAAACAGUUAUUGGAGGAGUCACAAAGGAAAAAGGAGGAAGGCCUUGAGGCUUUACGACGCGCAAAGGAGUCGGAAAAAGCACUAAAUGAUGGACAAGCAGAGAUACAGGAGAAAAUCAACGAAUUAGAAAUUCAAGAGCGUAAUUUAAUGAAGGAAAAACUGGAAAUAGCCCGGGCAUGGAAGGAACUGAAUAGGAGCAGAUCUCAGUUAGAAUUCCUACUGCCAGAAUUAACGAAUGAGGAAAGGCAACUACUCCAGCCUUCUACUAGACAGAAACAAAUCGACCGAAAUUUGAUCGUUUACAAGCUACCUGCCGAGAGGGAAGGAGACGGCUUCAAACCUUUCCCAAGUUCAUCGAGCCAUUUUAAUUUAAAUGUUGGCCAGGAAUACGAUUGAACUGAUCAUUUUUGGCGUAAAAUGUGCCGGUAUUUGCAGUUGAAACUAACUCAACUUCCGGCAUAUACCAAGGAUACAUCCAUACACUCUAAGUAUAUUUCUUUCUACUAGAUUUUUGAGCGUAGAAACGACAACAACAUAAAAUUUGAAUAGGAACUGAAUGCUAAAAAUCUGAUUGGCAAAGGUUGACUGUACUUCUGGAACACUUGAUGAUAAAAAGUGCGGCAUAUCGAUAUCGUCUCGGUCAUUCAUUCUUUUUUUCUAUUCGCCUUACGAAAGCUACCGAUCCUUUGAAAGUCGAGUUUACAAGGUCAAAAUUCUGAAUGGAUCUUCAAUCCAUUUUGAAGUAGUUGCGUUUUAUUAAAAAAAAGUUUGUUAAAAAAAAAAAUCUUCAAUCCUUUAGAACGCACUAUCUUUUACAUGCAGUAACUCACUUUUUUCAAGAAUGAUGCGUUAUGAUUUUUGUCUUAUUUUUUUAAACCAAACUCUAAAGAUAAAAAAAGCUCUCAAAGUUGAGGCCGUCAAAGUAGGGGAUAUCCCUUGCUACCCUAAGAGUCCAUAUCUAUAUCCAAUUAAACUCUCUGUGCAAAGACAUGGAUAUCAGCAGGGUUGCCACUUUAACUGGAUUGGAUAUAAAGGUGGACUCUCAAAAUAGUGUGGGAUAUCCCCUCUUUUACGGCUUCAACUUUGAGAACUUUAGAGUUUGUCUCAGAGAAAAUCUGAGGCACCAUCGUGUUUCUCGCGAAAUUUUACAUGAUAGUAAGUACUUUAAUUGCAAAUCCCCACACAUGCAAAAUCUCUAUUAUUCGCGCUACCCGGUUAGUUUGUGCCUAUGCGGCGAAAUUGAAGGCGAUUUUUAAAUGCACGGUAUCUGCCAAUAAGUUUACCCAUUAGGCCAUGUCUCCACCCACAGGAUAUUUUCAUAGGAUUCGUCCCAAGGUGGAAUCCAGGGAAUAAUAUCGAAAUUUAAAAUUAUGCAUGAUGUGGCUGAUUGAUAGAUACAUUUAUUUGCAGGUGUCUUAACAGGACUAAGUCAUUAUUACCUUAGCAAAAAGAAGUCGUUACAGAGACAGGGUGUCUACUAAAAUUUCAUUUUGGGUUUUCCUGAUGUUUUCUUGAUAUUCUAAAUAAAAUUUCCUGAUUUUUUUUGCGCGAAUAAACUGGUGAAACUCGUUUGAUUUUACAAACGAACAUGUUAAAUGAACUGAAUCAAAUUUUUCAUUUUGCGAGUGCUGAGCUGCAUGUAAUUGAAAAAUGCUUGACACGCUCAGAAUUUUCUGAUCUAUGACGAAUUUUCCUGAUAUUUCUUAUGAUAUCAAUAUUCCGGAUAUUUUCCAGUUUUUACUGAUAAAAAACACCCUGAGAGAGGGCCACCCUAAGAAAUUUACCUUGGCGCACAUAAGUUAUCUUUAUUUGUUGACUGAUUGUGAGUUCUGCAUUUUCUCCUUUCAUUCUCAACUGAAGAGACCAUUUUGAUGUACCUUUUGGCAACUUUUACAAAGGAAGGAAGGAAAGAGGUUGGAUUUUCUGAUUAUGUUACAGAAUUUGAAGUACUGCUACUACCAAGUAUAGGGACAAAUAAUCUGUUUGAUUACAGAUACAUCAAAAUUGGUUAAAAUGUACCCAAAUCUUGACAUUUCU
rnacentral:lncRNA from 1 species